rnacentral:rRNA from 1 species
AACGAACGCUGGCGGCGUGCCUAACACAUGCAAGUCGUGCGAGAAAGUUCCUUCGGGAGCGAGUAAAGCGGCGCACGGGUGAGUAACACGUAGGUAACCUGCCCCCCAGUCUGGAACAACUAGAGGAAACUACUAGCUAAUGCCGGAUGAGACCACGAUCCCUUCGGGGGUUGGCGGCCAAAGAUGGCCUCUACUUGUAAGCUAUCGCUGAGGGAUGGGCCUGCGGGCCAUUAGCUUGUUGGUGAGGUAACGGCUCACCAAGGCUGUGAUGGCUAGCUGGUCUGAGAGGAUGACCAGCCACACUGGGACUGAGACACGGCCCAGACUCCUACGGGAGGCAGCAGUGGGGAAUAUUGCGCAAUGGGCGAAAGCCUGACGCAGCGACGCCGCGUGGGUGAUGAA